CCCAACUAUCCCUAUUAAUCAUUACGUCGAUCCUAGAAACCAACAAAAUAGGUUCGAUCGUCCUAUUUCGUUAUUCCAUGCUAAUGUAUUCAAGCGCGAGCCUGCUUUAAGCACUCUAAUUUUUUCAAAGUAACAGUCCUGUUUCCCCGCAACAACAAAUUAAUGCCAUCACGGUUCUACAAGAAGGAGGGACCAGUGAGGCCAGUGCAUACCAGUGGCACGACCAACCUACUGGCCCCGAAAUUCAACUACGAGCUUUUUAACUGCAACAACUUUAAUAUACGCUAUUGGAGCUGGAAUUACCGCGGCUGCUGGCACCAGACUUGCCCUCCAA
rnacentral:misc_RNA from 2 species